CCGGCACGAGCCGCUGCGCCCCGAGCCCCGAACGGCGGCGCUGAGCGGAGCUGUCAGCCCCGGAGCGAUGGGGGCCGCGCACCGCCCUGGAGGAAAGCGUUGGGCUGAAGUGGUUGUGAAAUCCUGUGCUCAGUGAGAUCACUUGGCUGGAAAUCAGAGGAUCCAAUCGGGGGUGCGGGGAGAAGAGGGGAGCACUGCCAGCAGCGAGGAGAGCACAGCGCUGAGCUGCAGGCCAGAAGCUCAGAAACCAUACCCACUUCAUUAGCGUGGCAGCAGGGACUGUCAGCCCUUUCCUUUGAGGUUACUAAUGAAGCUCAGUGCCUGACGGUGCUGUUGGCAGCAGGCAGUGUGAUGGGUCAGUGGGAUCGGAGUGCAUCCCGGCUGUCACACUGGGACGCCCCCAUGUGCCCCCAUGUGCCCCCUGAGCCCGGCCGCGCUUUGGAGAGCAGCAGAGCUGCGGGGGCACAGCACACAAACUGUUAACUUUUCUUCACUCUGCUCACAAAUCCAUUUCUUCAGCCGAUGCCAAAGCAUGCGUUCCUCUAUCAAGACCAUAUGUACGCCAAGACUGAGGUUUUAAAGUCAAGGUGUUUGUGAAAUAUUGGAGUGCAAAUUAAGUAUCUGAGUAAUCCUAACUGUCUUCUCGAAAAAAUUCGCUAUCAGCUUCACUUAUUACUCCGAGGAUUAAUGGAAAGCUAAACUUUGAUCCGGGUCCAACAGCUGAUACCAGCCAUGAGGCUUUCCAGGCCUGAGAGCAGCGCAGAGGAAUCCGGCGGGCGGCUCUGCUGGGCGCUGCUCCAUCGGCACUGCGGCUCUGGGGCCGAUGCGGUUUUUGUUCUCAGCCCCUUAAAGCCUUCUGGUGUCACCUCUGUGCCGUAGCACCAAACGCUGCCUGGAGGGGCUGAUGUUGCACAGGGCACUGCAGGCUGCAGCCCCUCGCCCUGCGCUGCCCACAUCCCUGCCUCCCUCACCCUCAGCGCUCUGUCUGCCCAGAGAAAGGAACUCAUCCCUGCGUGGCUUAAGAAGGAUGAGGGGUGCAGAGCAUCCCAAUGAGCAGCGCUGGCGUGGCGCAGCUCAGCUGGGCACCGAGCACUGCGCUCCCAUUUGGUUCCUGCUGCUGCCCUGAGUGCAUUCUCUGACCCCUUCCCACCUUUCGCAGCGCUCUGUGGGGUCACUGUCAGAGAACUCCCGGUGGGGUUUUCCCUGUUGGAUUGAAGUGUGCUGUGGGAUGCAGGGAGCUCUGGGCUGGCUGCUCCGGACUCGGCCUUCACAGAAGCACCGGAGCCCUUUGAGGA
rnacentral:lncRNA from 1 species